rnacentral:misc_RNA from 1 species
AAGUCGUAACAAGGUUUCCGUAGGUGAACCUGCGGAAGGAUCAUUACUGAAAUGAACCUUGAGGCUGUCGCUGGCCCAUCUGGGCAUGUGCACGUCUCUGGUCAUUACCAAUUCCACCUGUGCACACUUGUAGACACUUGGGAAUGAGAGACUUUGACCGGUCUCUUGAGGGAAUUGAACUCUGGGUGUCUAUGCCAUUUUAUCAAACACUAGUUGCAUGUUUAUAGAAUGACGAUUUGAUUGAAUAUAAAAUACAACUUUCAACAACGGAUCUCUUGGCUCUC